rnacentral:ncRNA from 1 species
CGGUAACUCCGAGUCCUGCGAAGGAGAGGAGUAACGGCUGGUUGGCGCAGCCAGCAGUCCGUCUGUUCGAUAAAUACACCGGCGUAGUAGCCGGCCGAGAACAGGUUGCUGACUGCAAACCAUAAUAUCCCAACGCCCGUGAAUCCUACGGCUUCAGCCGUAGGA